ensembl:misc_RNA Y_RNA Y RNA
GGCUGGUCUGAGUACAGUGGUGUUUACAACUCAUUGAUCACAACCACUUACAGAUUCCUUUGUCCUCCACUCCCACUGCUUCACUUGACUAGUCUAAA